AAUUCAAGGCUGAUAUAGGUAAUCCAAGUGCAAUUCUUGGGCUGUGCCGCAACUGUAAAGCCAGAAAACUAUAUUUGUC
rnacentral:ncRNA from 2 species